UACGUAGGUGGCAAGCGUUGUCCGGAUUUACUGGGCGUAAAGAGCGUGUAGGCGGCCCAGGUAGGUCGGUUGUGAAAAACUGGAGGCUCAACCCUUCAGAGGUCGACCGAAACCAUCUGGCUAGAGUCCAGGAGAGGUGAGUGGAACUGCGAGUGUAGAGGUGAAAAUUCGUAGAUAUUCGCAAGAACACCAGUGGCGAAGGCGGCUCACUGGCCCGGUACUGACGCUGAGGCACGAAAGCGUGGGGAGCAAACAGG
rnacentral:rRNA from 1 species